UCCUACGGGAGGCAGCAGUGGGGAUCUUGCGCAAAUGGGCGAAAGCCUGACGCAGCAACCCGGCGGUGGGGGGAUGGACGGCCUUCGGGUUGUAAACCUCUUUCGACAUCGACGAAGCCGGCCUUUGGUGGAUGACGGUAGGUGUAGAGGAAGCACCGGCUAAAUACGUGCCAGCAGCCGCGGUAAUACGUAGGGUGCGAGCGUUGUCUGGAUUUGUUGGGCGUAAAGAACUCGUAGGCGGUUUGUCACGUCGGCCGUGGAAACCUGCAGCUUAACUGUGGGCUUGCGGUCGAUACGGGCAGACUUGAGUUCGGUAGGGGAGACUGGAAUUCCUGGUGUAGCGGUGAAAUGCGCAGA
rnacentral:rRNA from 1 species